AAAACAUAUUGACAUACUUCAUCUUUGUUAUAGAUCUAAGGUGAAUCACAUAAGCAUCUCCAAAAGUUCUGGAAAAGCAUGAAAAAGUUAAAGGAGGAAAAACAAAACCCACUCCAGUCCGUUGUUUCCAUGGAACUUUCAUUUAAAGGAUGAAGAUGAAUGAUGAGGAUUGGAAAACACCAUGUGUUCUACACAUAUCUAGACUUUAUAAUCGUGUCUGGAACUUCAGGCUGGGGAAAAGUCUAAGAGAUGGAUGCCUAUAUGGAGGUAUCUUAACAUUAAUAAACUGUCUAGUAAGGAAUUUGGCCUUUUUCCCUAGCUCCUAGGAGGUAGUCUGUAAAUGUUUGUACCAGAUGUUGUUGGUGUGAGAGUGCAUAACAUUGUAGCUUACCAAUUACAACGUGCAUGGGGAGGGGAAGGGGAGAACACUGCUGUAUUAUAACUCCCAAGAAUCAGAAAUAAAAAUAUUAGUGUUCUUUCAUUUAAGUUUGCUUGAUUAAAAACAAACUAUAAAUCAAUCACCUCACUGUGCUAAUAACUAACAGUGUUUUUCCUAGCAUAUGAGGAAUACAUUAUUUAAAAUAUA
ensembl:lincRNA